GACGAACGCUGGCGGCGUGCCUAACACAUGCAAGUCGAGCGGAAAUAUUCUGAAGAGUAAUCGGAAGGAUAUUUUAGCGGCGGACGGGUGAGUAACACGUGGGCAACCUGCCCUGUACAGGGGGAUAACACUGGGAAACUAGUGCUAAUACCGCAUGAUACGCGAAGAUGGCAUCAUUUUGCGUCAAAGGAGAAAUCCGGUACAGGAUGGGCCCGCGUCCGAUUAGCUAGUUGGUGAGGUAAUGGCUCACCAAGGCGACGAUCGGUAGCCGGAUUGAGAGGUUGAACGGCCACAUUGGGACUGAGACACGGCCCAGACUCCUACGGGAGGCAGCAGUGGGGAAUAUUGCACAAUGGGGGAAACCCUGAUGCAGCGACGCCGCGUGAAGGAAGAAGGUCUUCGGAUUGUAAACUUCUUUGAUUGGGGACGAAAUAUGACGGCACCCAAGGAACAAGCCACGGCUAACUACGUG
rnacentral:rRNA from 1 species